rnacentral:rRNA from 1 species
CCCUUAGAUGCUCUGGGCCGCACGCGCGCUACACUGGUCGAUGCAACGAGUUUCUUUCCUUGGCCGACAGGCCUGGGCAAUCUUUGAACAUCGAUCGUGAUCGGGAUAGAUUCUUGUAAUUUUUGAUCUUAAACGAGGAAUUCCUAGUAAACGCAAGUCAUCAGCUUGCAUUGAUUACGUCCCUGCCCUUUGUACACACCGCCCGUCGCACCUACCGAUUGAAUGGUCCGGUGAAAUCUCCGGACUGGCGUGAGUCGGAGCAAUCUGACAAACGCCGGAAAGUUGAUUAAACCUUACCAUUUAGAGGAAGGUGAAAUCGUAACA